UGGGGAAUAUUGCACAAUGGGCGGAGGCCUGAUGCAGCGACGCCGCGUGGGGGAUGAAGGCCUUCGGGUUGUAAACUCCUUUCGACAGGGACGAAGCUUUUGUGACGGUACCUGUAUAAGAAGCACCGGCUAACUACGUGCCAGCAGCCGCGGUAAUACGUAGGGUGCGAGCGUUGUCCGGAAUUACUGGGCGUAAAGAGCUCGUAGGUGGUUUGUCGCGUCGUCUGUGAAAUUCCGGGGCUUAACUCCGGGCGUGCAGGCGAUACGGGCUGACUUGAGUGCUGUAGGGGAGACUGGAAUUCCUGGUGUAGCGGUGAAAUGCGCAGAUAUCAGGAGGAACACCGAUGGCGAAGGCAGGUCUCUGGGCAGUAACUGACGCUGAGGAGCGAAAGCAUGGGUAGCGAACAGGAUUAGAUACCCUGGUAGUCCAUGCCGUAAACGGUGGGCGCUAGGUGUAGGGGGCUUCCACGUCUUCUGUGCCGUAGCUAACGCAUUAAGCGCCCCGCCUGGGGAGUACGGCCGCAAGGCU
rnacentral:rRNA from 1 species